rnacentral:rRNA from 1 species
UACGUAGGGUGCAAGCGUUGUCCGGAAUUAUUGGGCGUAAAGAGCUCGUAGGCGGUCUGAUAAGUAGGGGGUGAAAUCCUGCGGCUUAACCGCAGGGCUGCCUUCUAAACUGUCAGGCUAGAGCACAGUAGAGGCAGGUGGAAUUCCCGGUGUAGCGGUGGAAUGCGUAGAGAUCGGGAAGAACAUCAGUGGCGAAGGCGGCCUGCUGGGCUGUUGAUGACGCUGAGGCGCGACAGCGUGGGGAGCAAACAGG